rnacentral:sRNA from 1 species
GUGUCAAGAAGCCUCAUCGUUACAGGC